rnacentral:rRNA from 1 species
UACGUAGGGUGCAAGCAUUAAUCGGAAUUAUUGGGCGUAAAGGGCGUGUAGGCGGCAUCGUAAGUCAGGUGUGAAAUUCCAAAGCUCAACUUUGGAGCUGCACAUGAAACUGCGGAGCUAAUGAGGGAUGGCGGAGAAAGCGGAAUUCCACGUGUAGCGGUGAAAUGCGUAGAUAUGUGGAAGAACACCUGUGGCGAAAGCGGCUUUCUAGCUAUUACCUGACGCUGAGGCGCGAGAGCAAGGGGAGCAAACAGG